UACGUAGGGUGCAAGCGUUAUCCGGAAUUAUUGGGCGUAAAGGGCUCGUAGGCGGUUUGUCGCGUCGGGAGUGAAAACACUGGGCUUAACUCAGUGCUUGCUUCCGAUACGGGCAGACUAGAGGUAUGCAGGGGAGAACGGAAUUCCUGGUGUAGCGGUGAAAUGCGCAGAUAUCAGGAGGAACACCGGUGGCGAAGGCGGUUCUCUGGGCAUUACCUGACGCUGAGGAGCGAAAGUGUGGGGAGCGAACAGG
rnacentral:rRNA from 1 species